rnacentral:rRNA from 1 species
UGACCUCGGAUCAGUGA